GUCAUCGUCGUCGUCGUCAUCGUCGUCGUCGUCGUCGUCGUCGUAACGCGACGAACGAGUAGUAGUAGUGACACGACGAAACUAAGUGGCCGCGAACGUGAGUCGGGUACGAUACGUAACCACCGCGAAUCUCGUGAACGAGGAAGUGCGUGCGUGAGAGUAGUAAAACUACUUUGGGGAGGAGGAAGAGGAAGAAGAGAAGAAGUGCAAGUAGAAAGAGGAAACGGAAGCGGAAGUGGAAGAAGAGGAAGAACAGGAGGAGGAGGAGGAAAGAAGGAGAGGAAGGAGGAGGGGAAAGGGGAAAAGAAAAGGAUUCCUACUGCUCCUCCGUCGUUUGCCCUCCCUUAUUUUCUUUCUACCUCCCUCUCCGACGAGUCGUGGUCGACGUCGUCGUCGUCGUCUUCGUCCUCGUUGAUUUGGUUGUCGCUGCUGUUCGUCCAGUUAGGUUUCGUGCGGCGACACUUCCUACGCGUACGGUUUUUCUCUAUUUUUUAGUUUGACUAGUCGAGUCGAAUCGAGUCAAAUCGAAUCGAGUCGAGCCCGGUCUUAAUAGUUUGUCAUCGUCGUCGUCGUCGGGGCAGCAGCGGCGACAAGCGGCGGCGGCCGACAACAUAGAGCGUCGUCGUCGUAGUCGUCGUCGUUGUUGUCGUCGUUGUCGUCGUCGUCGUCGUCUUCGUCGUCGUCGUUGUCGUCAUCGUCAUCGUCGUCCUCCUCCUUCUCCUCCUCUUCCUCGGCUCGUCCACGUCCGUGUCCGUGAUCUCAGGAGAUUGGACGAGUGCGGUGCGCGCGAUCCCUUAUUUUUUUUCUCUCUCAUCUAGGGAAUCGAACGGGGCGAUUCGUUGGCGGCAAACACAACGGCGGAGUGCUUAGAAAUCGCGAAUAAAUGUGUCGGUCACGGUAUAAGACGUGAGAGAAGAGAAGCGGGGGCCACCGGCAAGCCGAGGUUUAUUUUUAGUGGCAAGCGCCAAGCAGCAAGCGGAGUGGUAUAAACGGCGCGCACAGUGGCCCGAUGAAGCGGCGUUUGUGACAUCAAAUUUCUCCUCUCUUGCCACCUCGAGAACGAACACCCCGAGACAUCUCGCCGUCGGACCAUCCACGCUGUUUGUCCUCCGAUUACUUGGAGGACAGUGGAGCAGAGACGUUAGGGAUCAAUAAGAGCUGGUAGCUUAAGAGAACAAUAUUAGAGUUGGCUUAGGCCAACUACGGUAACUAAGGCAAAAUGGCGACAAUAGAUGGCCGACCAGCCCAAUAUGGAAUUACUCUUAAGCAACUACGGGAGCUCAUGGAGCACAGAGGUCGUGAAGGUAUCAAUAAGGUCAAUAGUUAUGGUGGUGUACAAGACAUAUGUAAAAAGCUAUAUACUUCACCCAGCGAAGGUCUCAGUGGGUCGACAGCGGACAUUCAACAUAGGAGAGAUACAUUUGGCUCCAACAUGAUUCCUCCAAAGCCACCUAAGACGUUUUUAACAUUAGUAUGGGAAGCUUUACAAGAUGUUACAUUAAUCAUCUUGGAAAUAGCAGCUUUGGUUUCGUUAGGUCUUAGUUUUUACCAACCGGUGGAUGAAGAAAACACGGGAUCUUCAUUUGAAGAAGAUGAAGGAAAAUAUGGUUGGAUUGAAGGACUCGCUAUAUUGAUUUCUGUUAUUGUGGUGGUGAUAGUGACGGCAUUCAAUGACUAUUCCAAAGAAAGACAGUUUAGGGGUUUACAAAAUCGAAUUGAAGGAGAACAUAAAUUCUCUGUUAUUCGACAAGGAGAAGUCAAACAGAUUUCUGUAUCCGAUAUCGUUGUAGGUGACAUAUGUCAGAUAAAAUAUGGAGACCUGCUACCUGCAGAUGGUAUCCUUAUACAAAGUAACGAUCUUAAAGUGGAUGAAUCCAGUUUAACUGGAGAAUCGGAUCAUGUAAAGAAAGGAGAAGCGUUCGAUCCUAUGGUUCUUUCAGGCACUCACGUGAUGGAGGGAUCCGGAAAAAUGUUAGUGACGGCGGUAGGUGUUAACUCUCAGGCUGGUAUAAUCUUCACCUUGUUAGGUGCUGCUGUUGACCAGCAAGAGCAAGAGAUAAAGAAGAUGAAAAAAGAGGCUAAAAAGCAGCGGAAGAAGAAGUCAUUACCAGGAGACGAAGCGGCAGAAAUCACCGGAAACAGCCAUGCUGUUGGAAGUGGUGGCGGAGGUAAACACGAGGGUGGAGAAAAUCAUCAUGGAGGUGGACAAGCAAGUGGCGGAGAGAGUACUAAGAAGGAAAAGAGCGUACUACAAGCUAAAUUAACAAAGCUCGCCAUACAAAUUGGUUACGCUGGCUCAACCAUAGCAGUGCUCACCGUGAUCAUUCUAGUUAUACAAUUUUGUGUGUCGACUUUCGUAAUGCAGGGAUUGCCAUGGAAGAACACUUAUGCCGGUGAUCUGGUACGGCAUUUGAUUAUCGGUGUGACUGUCCUCGUCGUAGCCGUACCUGAAGGCCUUCCUCUGGCUGUCACGUUAUCUCUCGCUUAUUCCGUCAAGAAAAUGAUGAAGGACAACAAUUUGGUGCGGCAUUUGGAUGCUUGUGAAACGAUGGGUAACGCUACCGCCAUUUGUUCGGAUAAAACCGGAACCCUAACGACCAACCGAAUGACAGUAGUGCAGUCCUACUUGUGCGAGAAAAUGAGCAAAACGGUUCCAAAUUUUUCCGAAAUCCCGAGCCACGUUGGAAAUUUAUUAAUUCAAGCCAUCUCCAUUAAUUCGGCAUACACGUCCAGAAUCAUGCCCUCGCAAGACCCUUCAGAAUUGCCGAUGCAAGUCGGUAACAAAACCGAAUGUGCCUUACUUGGAUUCGUAGUGGCCCUGGGCGAAAAAUAUCAAACGGUUAGAGAUGACCACCCUGAGGAAACUUUCACGCGGGUCUAUACUUUCAAUAGCGUUAGGAAGAGCAUGUCCACCGUUAUCCCAAGAGAAGGUGGUGGUUACAGGCUUUUCACCAAGGGCGCUUCCGAGAUCAUCAUGAAGAAAUGUGCCUUUAUCUACGGUCGCGACGGUCAUCUGGAAAAAUUUACGAGAGAGAUGCAAGAACGUCUAGUGAAGAACGUGAUAGAACCAAUGGCGUGCGACGGUCUACGUACAAUCUCGAUCGCAUAUCGUGACUUUGUACCGGGGAAGGCGGAGAUCAACCAAGUACACUCGGAAAACGAGCCAAAUUGGGACGAUGAGGAAAACAUCGUGAACAAUUUAACAUGUCUCGCUAUAGUUGGUAUCGAGGAUCCGGUACGUCCCGAGGUACCAGACGCCAUUAAAAAGUGCCAAAAGGCUGGUAUAACGGUGCGAAUGGUAACCGGUGACAAUAUUAAUACGGCUAGGUCGAUCGCCUUGAAGUGCGGCAUAUUCAAACCGAAUGAGGACUUUCUUAUUCUCGAAGGGAAGGAGUUUAAUCGAAGAAUCAGGGACAGUAACGGUGAGGUACAACAACAUCUGUUGGACAAAGUGUGGCCGAAAUUAAGGGUUUUGGCUAGAUCAUCGCCAACCGAUAAGUAUACUUUGGUAAAGGGCAUUAUCGAUAGUAAAGCUACGAGCAGUCGCGAGGUUGUAGCCGUGACCGGUGAUGGUACGAACGAUGGUCCGGCAUUGAAAAAAGCUGACGUUGGAUUUGCAAUGGGUAUUGCUGGAACGGAUGUGGCCAAGGAAGCUUCCGACAUCAUUUUGACGGACGAUAAUUUUUCUUCCAUCGUUAAGGCUGUUAUGUGGGGCAGAAACGUUUACGAUAGUAUAGCAAAGUUCUUGCAAUUUCAGCUGACCGUUAAUGUUGUAGCUGUUAUCGUCGCCUUUAUCGGAGCAUGUGCCGUACAAGAUUCACCAUUAAAAGCGGUACAAAUGUUGUGGGUUAAUUUGAUUAUGGACACGCUAGCCUCGCUUGCCCUUGCUACCGAAAUGCCUACGCCGGAUCUUUUACUUCGCAAACCCUACGGACGCACAAAACCGCUCAUCUCAAGGACGAUGAUGAAAAAUAUUCUUGGUCAAGCGGUUUAUCAGUUGACUGUUAUUUUUAUGCUUCUUUUCGUUGGUGACAAGAUGCUGGAUAUCGAAACUGGUCGAGGAGUUGCGGCUAGAGGUGGCGGACCUACUCAACAUUUCACUGUCAUCUUUAAUACCUUCGUCAUGAUGACUCUUUUCAACGAAUUUAAUGCCAGAAAAAUUCACGGUCAGCGCAAUGUCUUCCAGGGAAUAUUCACCAACCCUAUAUUUUAUUCUAUUUGGAUUGGCACGUGUUUCUCGCAGGUAAUCAUCAUACAAUACGGUAAAAUGGCCUUUAGCACAAAAGCUCUUACGUUAGAACAAUGGAUGUGGUGCCUGUUCUUCGGAAUCGGGACGCUAUUGUGGGGCCAAGUAGUCACGACUAUUCCUACACGGAAGAUACCCAAAAUUCUCUCAUGGGGCCGCGGCCAGCCGGAUGAUAUCGGUGCUAUCAAUCUAGGAGACGAGAAAUUCGACCCAGACUCGGAUAAAAAGCCGCGAGCAGGACAAAUACUAUGGAUCCGUGGUCUAACACGGCUACAGACACAGACGAGCAAUAGAACUCUGGUGCAGAAUGUAUCUGUGACAGGCAGAUCUCCCUCUCAGGAUUACCAUAUGCCAGCGGAACCCAUUCGAGAGACUGAGGUAUAACGAGGCGGCAGUCUUGCCAGCCGCCACACUUAUCCUGUCGGAGUACAAACAAAUCCGCGUAGUAAACGCAUUUCGGCAGGGCCUAGACGCGCGCUACGGCGAGCAUAGCAACACCACAUUGGCGGAAGUAUUGA
rnacentral:misc_RNA from 1 species